rnacentral:rRNA from 1 species
AAAUGAAUAGACGGGGACCCGCACAAGCGGUGGAGCAUGUGGUUUAAUUCGAAGCAACGCGAAGAACCUUACCAAGGUUUGACAUCCCUCUGAACAGGUUAGAGACAGCCUGGGCCUUCGGGACAGAGGAGACAGGUGGUGCAUGGUUGUCGUCAGCUCGUGUCGUGAGAUGUUGGGUUAAGUCCCGCAACGAGCGCAACCCUUAUAAUUAGUAGCCAGCGGGUAAUGCCGGGGACUCUAGUAAGACUGCCGUGGAUGACACGGAGGAAGGCGGGGACGACGUCAAAUCAUCAUGCCCCUUAUAUCUUGGGCUACACACGUGCUACAAUGGGCCAAACAAAGUGAAGCAAAGCGGCGACGCCAAGCAAAACACAAAAAAGGGCCCUCAGUUCGGAUUGCAGCCUGCAACUCGGCUGCAUGAAGCUGGAAUCGCUAGUAAUCGCAGAUCAGAAUGCUGCGGUGAAUACGUUCCCGGGUCUUGUACACACCGCCCGU